rnacentral:lncRNA from 1 species
ACUUUUGCGGGAACUCUCUUCCUGGGAGGUUGCCCCUUGACAUCACCAGGAUCAUCUUGCCUAAUCUUAUACCACAGCACUUCGUACACGGGACACGCAUCCAGAUCCUCAUAUUCAGCACCGCGAUAGAGGAUACAAUCAUUAGGGCAUGCGUGUAUCUUCUAAACCUCCAAUCCCAGAGGGCAAACAAUCUGUUUAGCUUCAUAUGUUGUGGAUGGCAAUUCAUUAUUCUUGGGAAGAAUCUUCUUAACAAUUUCCAACAUCCCCUGAAAUGCCUUAUCGGAC